rnacentral:rRNA from 1 species
AUGAACGCUGGCGGCGUGCCUAAUCCAUGCAAGUCGAGCGAACGGACGAGAAGCUUGCUUCUCUGAUGUUAGCGGCGGACGGGUGAGUAACACGUGGAUAACCUACCUAUAAGACUGGGAUAACUUCGGGAAACCGGAGCUAAUACCGGAUAAUAUUUUGAACCGCAUGGUUCAAAAGUGAAAGACGGUCUUGCUGUCACUUAUAGAUGGAUCCGCGCUGCAUUAGCUAGUUGGUAAGGUAACGGCUUACCAAGGCAACGAUGCAUAGCCGACCUGAGAGGGUCAUCGGCCACACUGGAACUGAGACACGGUCCAGACUCCUACGGGAGGCAGCAGUAGGGAAUCUUCCGCAAUGGGCGAAAGCCUGACGGAGCAACGCCGCGUGAGUGAUGAAGGUCUUCGGAUCGUAAAACUCUGUUAUUAGGGAAGAACAUAUGUGUAAGUACCUGUGCACAUCUUGACGGUACCUAAUCAGAAAGCCACGGCUAACUACGUG